AUGAACGCUAGCUACAGGCUUAACACAUGCAAGUCGCGGGGCAGCAUGGGGGUUGCUUGCAAUCCCCGAUGGCGACCGGCGCACGGGUGAGUAACGCGUAUCCAACCUGCCCUUCACCACGGGAUAACCCGGCGAAAGUCGGACUAAUACCGUAUGUUGUCCAUUGACGGCAUCCGAUUUGGACGAAAGGCUUGGCGGUGAGGGAUGGGGAUGCGUCCGAUUAGCCAGACGGCGGGGUAACGGCCCACCGUGGCUACGAUCGGGAGGGGUUCUGAGAGGAAGGUCCCCCACGCUGGAACUGAGACACGGUCCAGACUCCUACGGGAGGCAGCAGUGAGGAAUAUUGGUCAAUGGGCGUAAGCCUGAACCAGCCAAGUAGCGUGCAGGAUGACGGCCCUAUGGGUUGUAAACUGCUUUUAUGCGGGGAUAAAGUGGCCCACGUGUGGGCUUUUGCAGGUACCGCAUGAAUAAGGACCGGCUAAUUCCGUG
rnacentral:rRNA from 1 species